UACGGAGGGGGCAAGCGUUAUUCGGAAUUACUGGGCGUAAAGCGUGCGCAGGCGGUUUUGUAAGCCAGAUGUGAAAUCCCCGGGCUUAACCUGGGAAUGGCAUUUGGGACUGCAAGGCUCGAGUGCGGCAGAGGAGACUGGAAUUCCUGGUGUAGCAGUGAAAUGCGUAGAUAUCAGGAGGAACACCGAUGGCGAAGGCAGGUCUCUGGGCUGACACUGACGCUCAUGCACGAAAGCGUGGGGAGCAAACAGG
rnacentral:rRNA from 1 species